rnacentral:rRNA from 1 species
AUACGAAGGGGGCUAGCGUUGUUCGGAAUUACUGGGCGUAAAGCGCACGUAGGCGGAUAUUUAAGUCAGGGGUGAAUCCCGCAGCUCAACUGCGGAACUGCCUUUGAUACUGGGUAUCUCGAGUAUGGAAGAGGUGAGUGGAAUUCCGAGUGUAGAGGUGAAAUUCGUAGAUAUUCGGAGGAACACCAGUGGCGAAGGCGGCUCACUGGUCCAUUACUGACGCUGAGGUGCGAAAGCGUGGGGAGC